AACGAACGCUGGCGGCGUGCUUAACACAUGCAAGUCAAACGGGUGUAGCAAUACACAAGUGGCGCACGGGUGAGGAAUACAUGGGAAUCUGCCAAGUAGAGAGGGACAACUUCGGGAAACUGGAGCUAAUACCUCAUAAGCAGGAAACUGGAAAGGUGGGGACCUUCGGGCCUACCGCUAUUUGAUGAGCUCAUGUCCCAUUAGCUAGUUGGCGGGAUAACAGCCCACCAAGGCGAAGAUGGGUAACUGGUCUGAGAGGAUGAUCAGUCACACUGGAACUGAGACACGGUCCAGACUCCUACGGGGGGCAGCAGUGGGGAAUAUUGCGCAAUGGGGGAAACCCUGACGCAGCAACGCCGCGUGAGUGAAGAAGGCCUUCGGGUUGUAAAGCUCUUUCAGUAGGGAAGAAGGGGUUGUUUGUUAAUACCAAAUGACUUUGAUGGUACCUAUAGAAGAAGCACCGGCAAACUUCGUGCCAGCAGCCGCAGUAA
rnacentral:rRNA from 1 species